rnacentral:rRNA from 1 species
UACGGGGGGGGCAAGCGUUGUUCGGAAUUACUGGGCGUAAAGGGCUGGUAGGCGGCCAACUAAGUCGGAUGUGAAAUCCCCAGGCUUAACCUGGGAACUGCAUCCGAUACUGGUCGGCUUGAAUCCGGGAGAGGGAUGCAGAAUUCCAGGUGUAGCGGUGAAAUGCGUAGAUAUCGUAAGGAAGACCAGUGGCGAAGGCGGGUCUCUGGACAGUUCCUGACGCUGAGGCACGAAGGUCAGGGGAGCAAACGGGG